GAGGAAGGCGGGGGGCGUGCUUAACACAUGCAAGUCGAACGGAAAGGCCCUGCUUUUGUGGGGUGCUCGAGUGGCGAACGGGUGAGUAACACGUGAGUAACCUGCCCUUGACUUUGGGAUAACUUCAGGAAACUGGGGCUAAUACCGGAUAGGAGCUCCUGCUGCAUGGUGGGGGUUGGAAAGUUUCGGCGGUUGGGGAUGGACUCGCGGCUUAUCAGCUUGUUGGUGGGGUAGUGGCUUACCAAGGCUUUGACGGGUAGCCGGCCUGAGAGGGUGACCGGCCACAUUGGGACUGAGAUACGGCCCAGACUCCUACGGGAGGCAGCAGUGGGGAAUCUUGCACAAUGGGCGGAAGCCUGAUGCAGCAACGCCGCGUGCGGGAUGACGGCCUUCGGGUUGUAAACCGCUUUCGCCUGUGACGAAGCGUGAGUGACGGUAAUGGGUAAAGAAGCACCGGCUAACUACGUG
rnacentral:rRNA from 1 species